rnacentral:rRNA from 1 species
AAAGGAGGGGCAAUACCGAAUAUUGUCCGGGACCGUGAAGGGUUUCGGGGAAAGGGAGGCCUCUGACACAAGCUUUCGCCUUAAGAUGAGCCCAUGGCCCAUCAGCUAGUUGGUAGGGUAAAGGCCUACCAAGGCUACGACGGGUCGCUGGUCUGAGAGGACGACCAGCCACACUGGCACUGAGAUACGGGCCAGACUCCUACGGGAGGCAGCAGUGAGGAAUAUUGCGCAAUGGGGGAAACCCUGACGCAGCAACGCCGCGUGUGGGAAGAAGGCCUUCGGGUCGUAAACCACUUUUACUCGGGACGAAAAAGGGAUAUCAAAUAAAUAUCCCCGAUGACGGUACCGUGAGAAUAAGCCACGGCUAACUCUGUGCCAGCAGCCGCGGUAAGACAGAGGUGGCAAGCGUUGUUCGGAAUUACUGGGCGUAAAGAGUCUGUAGGUGGUUUGUCAAGUCUUUGGUGAAAGGCCGUAGCUUAACUAUGGGAAUGCCAAAGAGACUGGCAGGCUGGAGGCUGGGAGAGGGAAGCGGAAUUUCUGGUGUAGCGGUGAAAUGCGUAGAUAUCAGAAGGAAGGCCGGUGGCGAAGGCGGCUUCCUGGAACAGUCCUGACACUGAGAGACGAAAGCGUGGGGAGCAACAGGAUUAGAUACCCUGGUAGUCCACGCCCUAAACGAUGGGUACUAAGUGUGGAGGGGUUAAACCUCCGUGCCGCAGCAACGCAGUAAGUACCCCGCCUGGGGAGUACGGCCGCAAGGUUGAAACUCAAAGGAAUUGACGG